rnacentral:rRNA from 1 species
GGGAGGCAGCAGUGGGGAAUUUUGGACAAUGGGGGCAACCCUGAUCCAGCCAUGCCGCGUGAGUGAAGAAGGCCUUCGGGUUGUAAAGCUCUUUCGCAAGGAAAGAAAACUUAGCCACUAAUACUGGCUGAGGAUGACGGUACCUUGAUAAGAAGCACCGGCUAACUACGUGCCAGCAGCCGCGGUAAUACGUAGGGUGCGAGCGUUAAUCGGAAUUACUGGGCGUAAAGCGUGCGCAGGCGGUUUGAUAAGCCAGAUGUGAAAUCCCCGGGCUUAACCUGGGAACUGCGUUUGGAACUGUCAGGCUAGAGUGUAGCAGAGGGGGGUAGAAUUCCACGUGUAGCAGUGAAAUGCGUAGAGAUGUGGAGGAAUACCGAUGGCGAAGGCAGCCCCCUGGGUUAACACUGACGCUCAUGCACGAAAGCGUGGGGAGCAAACAGGAUUAGAUACCCGUGUAGUCCU